rnacentral:antisense_RNA from 1 species
CUUGAGCGAGCCCAGCCACAUGGGCUGGCCCUCGGGCCGUUCCUGGCCGUAGGUGGCGAGCAGCGCCUGCGCCUC